CUGCUUGGUGGUCAGUACGAUAGAAAUAUUUGGAAAAUGUUUUUACCAGUUUUAAAGCCAAUUUGGGUGCUUGGAUUCAGAAUAUGCAAGGCAGGGAAGAUGAGGAUGGUUUAUAACGGCUGUCUACUUUAAUAAAGGUGGCUGAUGAGAGAUUUGGAAAACAGGUGCUGAGAAACAGCUGAAUGGGAACCAUCACAUCAGGAGAUCACACUGCGGUCAUGUGGGACUUUGUCUAUACGUCCAUACAGCAAUUAAGCAGUGUAAGAAAGGCAGGCAACAGAGAAACAAGCCGCUUUGAUGAGCUCAGAUGGGAUUUUUACUGAUGGGAUGCGGUCCCUGCAGGAGAUGUCCAACCUGUGACUGCCUUGGCUAAUGAUCCUGUCUGAUCCUUGACGUCUGCGCUCAAAAACACACGCUCUUUCACCUGAGGAGUCCGUUUUCCAGAGUUUCCUGACUGGAGAAAGAUGUCUGAGCUCAGCUCGAAGAAACAGGGAUUUAAAAAAUGCCGGAGCGCCACUUUCAGCAUUGACGGCUACAGCUUCACUAUUGUGGCGAAUGAAGCUGGAGAGAGCAGCUCCAGACCUCUAGCACGCUUCGCACGUUCCAAGUCUCAGAAUGCUUUGUGGAACGCCAUCACAGCGGGCAUUGGGAUCAAGGACAAGGACAAGGACAAGCGGGGCAUCCUGAUUGACCCACGGAGCCCGGAGGAGAUUCUAGCUGAUGACCUGCCCACGGUCGACAGCCCUGACGCCAUGGAGAAGACUGCCAUCAGGUUUGGAGGGAUUCACACGUCACUACAUCUCUGAACUUAUCAAUCAGUGAGGGCCGGUAUCUGCUCUUGAUCAGUUAUUUCUAGUUCUGCAUCAAUUGUUGAGCUUUUCCUUUACCGGCUGUUAUCUUUAAGCAUGGUAGAGUCAAACUAGGUGAAUCGACAUGCUCAGUUACCAGAAAUUGUGCACUUAGUAUGCUGAAUAGAGUGCUUUGUACAGUUAUGUGUGUUUUUCACUCAUAAGCACAGCUGGCAGGCUCACAUAUUACUAUUGAUU
ensembl:processed_transcript